GCAGACGUGGGGUCAUGAACCCCCAGCACUCCCAGCUGCAGCCUGGGGCACACAACUGUUUGAGUUUCUCUGUGCUACCUUUGCCACCCUUGGCCACCCCCUCUCACUGCUCCACAGUUUAGACUUUUGUAAAUAAGAUAUUUCAUGGGUUUUGUAACUACCUUCUUUCCUUUGAUGUGUGUAAGGGCCUUUUUACCACCAGUCUGAGCAUCCUUUACAAGGUGUUCUUCAAAUUCUCUUUCAGUUCUGUUCAUUUCCUGCUUUGAUAUGACCUGCAGUGUUUUACAGGUUUCUGCUCUCUUUAUUUUGGCCCAGAUGAGUUCUGCCCUCUCAUUAAUAUCAAAGGAAUUGCCUUGCCAAGCCCUCUCUCAUUCUUCUUGGACAGAGAUCCUGCUAGAGUCUGUCACAGGAAGCUGUCAAACCACAAGUGUUUAAGUAAACACAGGAUUUGCCUGUGUGCCUGUGGGGGAAUUCACUGAUUGAGGGAGGUGGGGCUGAGCAGUGGAGCCUCAUCCAAAAGACGUUCCCAUGGGACAGAGAACCUGCCUGGAAGCCUCACCCCAAAGUCACUGGCUGGAAGGAACAGCAACCCUCAGCUGCAUCAUCCUGCAUCAUCCAGGAGCCUGUGGAAGCAGGAGGGGCAUGCUCUCAGGGCCCCUGCAGGCAUGUGCUAAGAACUGAGAAAUGGUGUAGAUUUUUUGAGGCACUGCUUGGUUACAAAUAGUGCUGAUCAACUCAUAAAUUCCAGCACUGGGACAGCUGGCAGAAACUUUCAUGCAGAAUGAAAAUCACAGCUGAAAAUCAGUUCUGAAACUGAUGAAAACUGCAGUAGGAUGCUGCAGGAGUAUUGGAGAGAGAUGUAUGGUUUUUAUGCAUCAGAAUGCUAUCAUUUGCAAUCGUUUCAGGCUCAGUGUGUGUCAUUUCAGAGUGGUAGAGCUAUUAGGCACAAUGUACCAAUGACCUUAAAAAAGAUUAUUUGUAAA